rnacentral:rRNA from 1 species
CCUACGGGUGGCUGCAGUGGGGAAUAUUGCACAAUGGGGGAAACCCUGAUGCAGCGACGCCGCGUGAGUGAAGAAGUAUCUCGGUACGUAAAGCUCUAUCAGCAGGGAAGAAAAUGACGGUACCUGACUAAGAAGCCCCGGCUAACUACGUGCCAGCAGCCGCGGUAAUACGUGGGGCCCAAGCGUUAACCGGAUUUACUGGGUGUAAAGGUAGCGUAGACAGCAGCACAAGUCUGGAGUGAAAUCACCGGGCUUAACCCCGGAACUGCUUUGGAAACUGUGCGGCUGGAGUGCAGGAGGGGUAAGCGGAAUUCCGGGUGUAGCGGUGAAAUGCGUAGAGAUUAGGAGGAACACCGGUGGCGAAGGCGGCUUACUGGACUGUAACUGACGUUGAGGCUCGAAAGCGUGGGGAGCAAACAGGAUUAGAUACCCGAGUAGUC